UGAGGAAUAUUGGUCAAUGGGCGCAAGCCUGAACCAGCCAUCCCGCGUGAAGGAAGAAUGCGCUACGCGUUGUAAACUUCUUUUCCAGGGGGAGAAUUUUCCUGUCGAGACAGGGAUUGACGGUACCCUGGGAAUAAGCAUCGGCUAACUCCGUGCCAGCAGCCGCGGUAAUACGGAGGAUGCGAGCGUUAUCCGGAUUUAUUGGGUUUAAAGGGUGCGUAGGCGGAUUGAUAAGUCAGUGGUGAAAUUAUGUAGCUUAACUGUAGACUUG
rnacentral:rRNA from 1 species